GAGAGUUGCCAGUCUGUAUUUUCUGUUGGCAGCUGUUUUGUUUGUCACUUCAUUGGCUUCUUGUACUCUAAUAGUUUGAUUUCUUCUUUGGUCUUUGUAGUGGGGGCAAGCAUGACUAAGGAGGCAAUGGAGGAUUAGCAUAGAUAUUUGCAGAAGAAAAUUAGUUUUGUUCAAAAUUGACUCCUCAGUUUAGAAUUUCGUCUUCCGUCUUUGAAAUUCCGUAUGAUUGUAAACCCCUUUCACUUUCCUGUUCUUUCUUUAUAUUCAUUGCAUAAAGUUUAUAUGUAUGAAACCCGAUAAUUUCUUGUACGUUAAUCCGAUGAUUGCUUCAUA